GGAACAGAGGCCGGCCCAAAUAGCUCCACACGUUGGCAAUGGAAGGGGAUGGGACCGAAAGAGGCCUUCGGUGCGGUGGGAGACGCCGGGCAGGGCGGCUUUGGUGCCCGGGUUGGGCAUCGCAUCCCAGGGGGGAGCGGCGCUGGAGCCGCCGUAAUUAACGGCGAAGGAGAACGGCGAUCCGUCGGGAUCCUGCGGCUCCCCCAGGCAGCCCGAGCUCCUCCUGCAGACGGACACGGCCCCGGCGCUGCUGCGGUGCCCAGUCAAUGCUUAAAGAAAAAGCCUUUGCCCGGCUCAGCACCCGUUCCGCUUGUCCUCUGCUGCAGAAAGCAGCCCUGGGGGUGCCGAUGGGGGUCCCGCGGUGCCGGGGAGAUUGCCCGGGGCACUGCGAGGUUUCCAGCUUCCUAUCUCUCCUAUGAAUGGUCGCACAAUUGUGAUUAAACCGUCGGGGUUUUGCCCCGAAGAGGUUAUGAAGUUGCCUUGAACUUGUUUGUUUGUUUGUUUGUUUGAUGCCAUGCUUCCUUUUAUUGAAAAAUAAAUAAAUGAAUCCACAAUUCCUGUAGGAAAAUGUGUAGGGUCGUGAAACGCUCACUAUCCCUUUUAAGUCAGUUUUGGAAAUAACAAACAGGGAUGUAAUCCGUAGGAUCUGAGAAAAGGGGCUCGGGAUAAGCCAGACAGUGGCUGUUGCACGUG
rnacentral:lncRNA from 1 species